GCGCGAGUAGUAUAGUGGUUAGUAUACAACGUUGCCAACGUUGUGACCCGGGUUCAAGUCCCGGCUCGCGCA
rnacentral:tRNA from 1 species